rnacentral:sRNA from 1 species
UCGUAGGCACUACGAUUCAGGUGCCUUC